UUUGAUUCCCGAUUCGUUAACCGUUGGAUGUCCUUCAAAUUUUGAGGGUAGGUUCAUAACAUCUGAGGCCAACUUUUGACCGUUCGGAUCGUUGAAACAAGGUCUGAGGAGGAAGAAAUCGAGUUCGGAUUGCACCAGAUGUGUUGGGGAGAAAAAGAGGGAAAAAGGCAAGAACAAGGUGGAGCUUCAAGAACCAUUGCCAUCCUCCAUUUUCUUUACAACCAAAGGUUUUCCAGGUUGUUGAGUCUCGUGUGCUUGAGUUCUUGAUGAAGCUCCGCUCUGAUUGUGACACGGGGAAGAGUUUUUAGAGUCAUUUACUCUGUCAUUUUAUUUUUAAUUUAAAAUGUUUCUUGUUAGAAAAGAAAAAUAUUUUUAUUAGUGAUGCUUAUGCUAAUUUAUUUUCAUUAGCAAUAUGAAGAAAAAUGUAAUACCUUAAACCAAUAUUUUCAUAAGUUAUUUUGACUCCAAGCCUAUUUAUUAUUUAUAACCGCUGCGUAAUUUUGAAAAGCA